rnacentral:rRNA from 1 species
GAUGAACGCUAGCGGCGUGCUUAAUACAUGCAAGUCGAGCGAACAGACGAGGAGAUUGCUCUACUGACGUUAGCGGCGGACGGGUGAGUAACACGUGGGUAACCUACCUAUAAGACUGGGAUAAAUUCGGGAAUCAGGAGCUAAUACAGGCUAAUAUACUGCACCGCAUGGUACAAUCGUGAAAUUAGGGUUUUCUGUCUCGACUAGAUGGAUCCGCGCCGCAUUAUAUUGUUGGGAAGGAGACGGCUUAUCAAGGCUACGAUGCGUAGCCUACGUGAGAGGGGGAGCAGCCACCCUGCAACUGAGCUACGGCCCAGACUCAUACGCGAGGCAGGAGUAGGGAGUCUUCCACUAUGCGCUAAAGCUUGACGUGACACCGCCGCGUGAGUUAUAAAGGUAUUCGCAUCUUAAAACUAUGUUAUUAGGGAAGAACAAAUAUGUAAGUUACUUUGCACCUCUUGACGGUACCUAAUCAGAAAGCCUCGGCUAACUCCGUG